rnacentral:rRNA from 1 species
GAUGAACGCUGGCGGCGUGCCUAAUACAUGCAAGUCGAGCGAACAGACGAGGAGCUUGCUCCUCUGACGUUUGCGGCGGACGGGUGAGUAACACGUGGAUAACCUCCCUAUCAGACUGGGAUAACUUCGGGAAACCGGAGCUAAUCCCGGAUAAUCUAUUGCACCGCAUGGUUCAUUAGUGAAAGUCGGUUUUGCUGUCACUUAUAGCUGGAUCCGCGCCGCUUUAGCUAGUUGGUAAGGUAACGGCUUACCACGGCGACGAUGCGUAGCCGACCUGAGAGGGGGGUCGGCCACACUGGAACUGAGACACGGUCCUGACUCCUACGGGAGGCAGCAGUAGGGAAUCUUCCGCAGUGGGCGGAAGCCUGACGGAGCAACGCCGCGUGAGUGAUGAAAGUCUUCGGAUCGUAAAACUCUGUUAUUAGGGAAAAACAAAUGUGUAAGGAACUAUGCACGGCGUGACGGUACCUAAUCAGAAAGCCACGGCUAACUACGUG